GUUGAAACUUGUUGUGCUUACGGAACAUUUCUGGGAUCUUUUAAUUCAGCUCAUGAAACAUGGGACCGACACUUUACAUGUUGCAUAUAUAUUUGUAUCAGAAUAGAUAGGCCGUGACUGGCCUCACACUCCAGUACAAUAGGAGGCGGUGUAUACACCUAAAAGUUGGAUGCGAUCCGUCAACCAAAUCCUGAAGAAGAUGACGAAGAAGAAGCAGCUGUUUAUCUUCAGUCAGCACCGUUCAUAUGUACCUCAAUAGUCAGCACAGGAUUUACGUGGUUUUCAGCUUGAAGUGGCAAUGAGUCAGUUUCCCUUCUGCGUAAUAGCCUAGAAACGCUAAAGAUUCGGUGUUGCACGUCUGGACCAAAGGCUCCGGUUGAUUUCGUCGCUGUUCUGGUGCUUUACGGUGCAGAAGGAUAUGGUUUUCUCAUCGUCCCAGCAAGUGGUUGUCGCAUUUACGGCGGUGUUGUUUGCGUUUGUGGUGUUCCCUAGAAUGUUCGGCGUAGGAUCCGGAGCGAAGGAAACAAGAGGUUUUGAUGCUCGCUACAACAGAAAAGCGGGACCAGGACCAGGACCAGGUGCAGUGAGAGGGCAGCCGGUCAACAAGAACACGCCUGGCUCCAUGAACAAAGCUCAGACCCUGGAGAACAUGCAGCAGAUGAAGGUGAUGAUGGAGCAGGAGAUGAAGGGUGACAAAUACAAAACCAACAGCAACAAGGGCUACGUGUUCACGCUGAUGCCGCUCUACGCCAUCGGAGUCGGCCUCUUUGCAGCGUACAAAUUUCUGAAGAUCAAGUCUGCAGAUGACUCCCAAGCCCAAAAGAAUAAGGAUGCCAAAGGUCCCAAGAAGUCGGAGGAGACAGAGAAUCAGCUUACAGAGCUGGAGCAGCGGCUAGCGCAAACAGAGAAGAUGCUCAACUCCAUUCUCACCCAACUUGACCCAUUGACAAGUUGGUAAGUAAGCCAACUGACCUGACCCAUAAACCACUGAGCUCCAGUUUGUCUUCUGUUUCUGUGUAAUAUUGCUCAGUAAAUAAUACCCCAUGUAAAUAAAUACAUGUCCGUCGUGAUUAAGAGCAGUUUAUCCAGACCAGGUAGUAAUAGCAGUUAUUAGGGGACGUUGCAUGGUCUUGAUAAACUGUUGACACUAUUGACUCUGCUGAAUCUAAGAGGGUUUAUGGUAAUAGACUCUGUGGUGUGUUGACUAGGCACCAAAUAGGAGAUUGUCUUACCGAAGCACAUUUCUGUAUCAACUGGGUGUUGGGUGAAGUGGACCCUAGGGCCUAGACCUCGAUUAUUUUUUAGUCUCAGUUUGGCAUUUCCCUGACUAAUGGUUAAGGUUAGGAUUGGGGAAGCUGAUCCUAGAUCUGUCCCUAGAGAAACUUCAUCCCGGAGCUAUAAACUGAACCUGCGUUUCCCAGAGGUCUGUCCUCAGUGACCCUGCUCUCUCCUGGCCAUUUCGCUCCUCUCCAGUGUCAAGUCUGUGGCCCAGGAACAGAAGAACGAGAUCAUGUCCCAACUCCAGUCCAUCCGCCACCUGAUGAAGAAGAGAGGCAUGGACUGCCCACCCCUUAACAUUGAAGAGCCGCAGUGCGAGAGGAACCUGGAUGACCUCAUCGAGUCUCUGGCAGCCCACAGCGACACCUCGCCAGAGGUGGUCGCUCCUGCGGAAGACGAUCAAAGUGGUGUCGUGAAAGAGGAGGAGCCAGUCCACCACCAGCAGCACCCUGAAUCCAAGGAUGAGUACUCAGCGACCGAUGCUGAGGAGGACAUGCCCUCCUUGGACGAUUCUUGUGAGACAAACAUUGAGGACAUGGGCCUUGCCCAGAGCAUUCCAGAAGAAAUGCCUACAACUGGGCUCAGACGACGUAACAGGCUGGAAUGAACAGGAAAAAAAGGGGGUUGUUUUAAACUGUACAUGAAUAAAGCCAUACAUGUAUUUUCUCAUUCUUAAUGGCACUACUGCAGUCUGUUCAAUAAUGCUCUUGCUUUUGGCUCGCAGUUGAAUAAGAAAGGGCAGCUAUCAAUGUGAAAGGAUUUUGUCCAAGGUUGUGUGUGAUAAAGGUAUUUUUCUGUGCCAUCCCUUAAAGCAUAGCAGAUCCCUGGCUAGGCCUAUGUGUAGGGUUAGGGCUUACUCCUGACAAAUAAAAUCCCCAGAAGCCUAACUCCAUAUAACCUUUGACUUAGGUCUGGAGGUUUUCCUUGUCAGACCCCAAGUAUGAGGCCUGAGUUUUCCAUCCUUGAACCAAACGUUAGUAUGUAAGGCACCUGUAAAUGUGUUUUCAUCACGUGACUGCUGCUUGGAAACCCUGUACAUCUCAUUAUAUGCUACCAUCUUUUAGAAAGGGUCAUUACGGCCCUAAAUAUAAAGACUCCAAAGUGUGUGUUGUUAUGCAAUCUUGCAACUGCAAUCCGUACGUCAUAGAAUAGUCAAAAUAAUACAAAAUGUCAAACAUAGUUAACUAUAAAUACCUACAUUUAGUUUUUUUCUACUACGUACUCGAGUCUACCAGAUACAAGUGCACGCUUGUGACGUUUGGCUUGUGGUAUGAUUUGCCUGUUUUCAGACAUCUUAUGCAUGUGUUUUUUUUUCUGCAACUGAUCUUGAAUGUCCUGGUGAAUACAACUGCAUGAGUUAUCUUACUAGAGGGAGAUGCAGGACAAUCAUGAAUGUAUUGAUGAUGUAGUCUAAAUCAGGGCUCUCCAACCCUGUUCCUGGAGAGUUACUGUCCACUGGGUUUCUAUCCAACCCUGUUCCCGGAGAGCUACUGUCCACUGGGUUUCUCUCCAACUCUGUUCCUGGAGAGCUACUGUCCACUGGGUUUCUCUCCAACUCUGUUCCUGGAGAGCUACUGUCCAGUGGGUUUCUCUCCAACCCUGUUCCUGAAGAGCUACUGUCCACUGGGUUUCUCUCCAACCCUGUUCCUGAAGAGCUACUGUCCACUGGGUUUCUCUCCAACCCUGUUCCUGAAGAGCUACUGUCCAGUGGGUUUCUCUCCAAACCUGUUCCUGGAGAGCUACUGUCCACUGGGCUUCUCUCCAACCCUGUUCCUGGAGAGCUACUGUCCAGUGGGUUUCUCUCCAACCCUGUUCCUGGAGAGCUACUGUCCACUGGGUUUCUCUCCAACCCUGUUCCUGGAGAGCUACUCUCCACUGGGUUUCUAUCCAACCCUGUUCCCGGAGAGCUACUGUCCACUGGGUUUCUCUCCAACCCUGUUCCCGGAGAGCUACUGUCCACUGGGUAUCUCUCCAACCCUGUUCCUGGAGUGCUACUCUCCAGUGGGUUUCUCUCCAACCCUGUUCCUGAAGAGCUACUGUCCAGUGGGUUUCUCUCCAACCCUGUUCCUGGAGAGCUACUGUCCACUGGGCUUCUCUCCAACCCUGUUCCUGGAGAGCUACUGUCCAGUGGGUUUCUCUCCAACCCUGUUCCUGGAGAGCUACUGUCCAGCGGGUUUCUCUCCAACCCUGUUCCUGAAGAGCUACUGUCCACUGGGUAUCUCUCCAACCCUGUUCCUGGAGUGCUACUCUCCAGUGGGUUUCUCUCCAACCCUGUUCCUGGAGAGCUACUCUCCAGUGGGUUUCUCUCCAACCCUGUUCCUGGAGAGCUACUCUCCAGUGGGUUUCUCUCCAACCCUGUUCCUGGAGAGCUACUCUCCAGUAGGUUUCUCUGCAACCCUGUUCCUGGAGAGCUACUCUCCAGUGGGUUUCUCUGCAACCCUGUUCCUGGAGAGCUACUGUCCAGUAGGUUUCUCUGCAACCCUAAUCUAGUACACGUGAUCCUAAUAAUUAUCUGGUUGAUAAGGGGAAUCCAGUUAGGUUCCCACAAACCCGUUUUAACUAUCGGAGGGUAGCUCUUCAGGAGCAGAGUUGGAGAACCCUGGUCUGAAUUAAUUUGCGUUCUAUUCGGGCUUUUGUCCAGUUUUGUAGUUCAGAUUAAGCACUAUAUGUGUAUUUAGCCAACACAACCAUGCAAUUUGCUCUUUUAUAUUUCUUUCCUUUUAAGUAUUUUAUGUUAUCUAUUGUUGACUGUAGUUAACACAGAAGUUAGCCUCUGGUUAGCACCAACCCAGUGAAACUACAGGAUAGAACAGAAAUCAAAUAAUCUCAUUGGUUUCAUCUUAAAUUGCACCCUACCUAUUCCCUAUAUAGUAGGCCUCUGGUCAAAAGUAGUGCACUAUGUAGGGAAUAUGGUGACGUGAACUGUGUAGUAAUACUGUACCAGCAAUCAAAUAAUCAUGUCUGUGUAGAAAUGCUCUACCACAAGACUUUUCAAAACACUGACAAAUAUCUUGUCUUGUGAUUAACUAUAGCUUUGGAGCAAAUA
rnacentral:lncRNA from 1 species